ACCUGGCUGGCUCAGUUGGUUAAGCAUCCGACUUCAGCUCAGGUCAUUAUCUUGUAGUUUGUGGGUUCGAGCCCCGCGUCGGGCU
rnacentral:tRNA from 1 species